GACGAACGCUGGCGGCGUGCUUACACAUGCAAGUCGAACGGAAAGGCCCUGCUUUUGUGGGGUGCUCGAGUGGCGAACGGGUGAGUAACACGUGAGUAACCUGCCCUUGACUUUGGGAUAACUUCAGGAAACUGGGGCUAAUACCGGAUAGGAGCUCCUGCUGCAUGGUGGGGGUUGGAAAGUUUCGGCGGUUGGGGAUGGACUCGCGGCUUAUCAGCUUGUUGGUGGGGUAGUGGCUUACCAAGGCUUUGACGGGUAGCCGGCCUGAGAGGGUGACCGGCCACAUUGGGACUGAGAUACGGCCCAGACUCCUACGGGAGGCAGCAGUGGGGAAUAUUGCACAAUGGGCGGAAGCCUGAUGCAGCAACGCCGCGUGCGGGAUGACGGCCUUCGGGUUGUAAACCGCUUUCGCCUGUGACGAAGCGUGAGUGACGGUAAUGGGUAAAGAAGCACCGGCUAACUACGUGCCAGCAGCCGCGGUGAUACGUAGGGUGCGAGCGUUGUCCGGAUUUAUUGGGCGUAAAGGGCUCGUAGGUGGUUGAUCGCGUCGGAAGUGUAAUCUUGGGGCUUAACCCUGAGCGUGCUUUCGAUACGGGUUGACUUGAGGAAGGUAGGGGAGAAUGGAACUCCUGGUGGAGCGGUGGAAUGCGCAGAUAUCAGGAGGAACACCAGUGGCGAAGGCGGUUCUCUGGGCCUUUCCUGACGCUGAGGAGCGAAAGCGUGGGGAGCGAACAGGCUUAGAUACCCUGGUAGUCCACGCUGUAAACGGUGGGUACUAGGUGUGGGGUCCAUUCCACGGGUUCCGUGCCGUAGCUAACGCUUUAAGUACCCCGCCUGGGGAGUACGGCCGCAAGGCUAAAACUCAAAGGAAUUGACGGGGCCCCGCACAAGCGGCGGAGCAUGCGGAUUAAUUCGAUGCAACGCGUAGAACCUUACCUGGGUUUGACAUGGAUCGGGAGUGCUCAGAGAUGGGUGUGCCUCUUUUGGGGUCGGUUCACAGGUGGUGCAUGCCUGUCGUCAGCUCGUGUCGUGAGAUGUUGGGUUAAGUCCCGCAACGAGCGCAACCCUUGUUCACUGUUGCCAGCACGUUAUGGUGGGGACUCAGUGGAGACCGCCGGGGUCAACUCGGAGGAAGGUGGGGAUGACGUCAAGUCAUCAUGCCCCUUAUGUCCAGGGCUUCACGCAUGCUACAAUGGCUGGUACAGAGAGUGGCGAGCCUGUGAGGGUGAGCGAAUCUCGGAAAGCCGGUCUCAGUUCGGAUUGGGGUCUGCAACUCGACCUCAUGAAGUCGGAGUCGCUAGUAAUCGCAGAUCAGCAACGCUGCGGUGAAUACGUUCCCGGGGCU
rnacentral:rRNA from 1 species